rnacentral:rRNA from 1 species
AGACGGAGGGCGCAAGCGUUAUCCGAAAUUACUGGGCGUAAAGGGCAGGUAGGUGGUCUGUUAAGUCUUCUGUGAAAAUCCGGGGCUCAACCCCGCGAAAUGCAGGUGAAACUGGCAGACUUGAGACCGGUAGAGGCUAGCGGAAUUCCUGGUGUAGCGGUGGAAUGCGUAGAUAUCAGGAAGAACACCUGUGGCGAAGGCGGCUAGCUGGGCCGGUUCUAACACUAAACUGCGAAAGCGUGGGGAGCAAACAGGAUUAGAUACCCCAGUAGUCC